rnacentral:ncRNA from 1 species
GCGGCAGACCACUCCACUUUUUGGACUGCCGCACAUGAAAGAAAGGAGGAAAAGCCCUGCUCGGGCUGCGGCAGUGUGGAGACCUGCCGUAAGGCAUGAGGCAAGAGCCCGUGCGAGGACGUUCCUUGCGGAGGCAGAACGUCCGGAGCGAAUAAACAUGGC